rnacentral:lncRNA from 1 species
UCCAAACCAAAUAUAGGCUUAAUCUAUUUUGAUAGCCUUUUGGGCUUAAGAUAUUCUCUCAGCUUAAGCAGCCUCUGUUGUUCAAGCCAUGUUUUUUUUUCUUUUACCAAGCUUAUCCAUUAUGGUGUUAAACAUUUGAUCACCUUCCUUCACAUCAUCCAAGCCCCACUGUCUCAGUCUUGGACUCAAUAUUCUAUUUCAAAGAUUUAAGCUAUUCUUUUAGGAUGAAACCUUUCCAAUCUUCAAUCUCCACAUUUUCCCAUUUGUUUUGCACAAAUGGUUUCGGCCCCCAAUUCCUGUUCAUCCAUAACGAGAAUAGACAGUGAUCUGAAAUACUUGUAUCCAAAGCUAAUUGUCUUAGAUUUGACCCUAUCUUCAUCUAAUUUUUAGAAAACAAUAACUUAUCAAUUCUGCUAGCGCUGCUUCCAUUAAUUGCUCCUGUACCAGAUUAGUGCCAAAUUAAUGAGCUCAAAAUGUCGGAUAAAUUCAUCCAACUCCACAUUAUGAAUGAUUUCAAAAGUAUGCAUUGUCGCUCUUUUUUCCGCAUUAUUCUUUAAGUGAAUCACAAAGAAUUCUCUUAUGAGCAAGCCCACAUGAAGAGUAAACACUGAAGAUUGAGAAUUAAAUUUGUUCGUGUCCCCAUCUUCCUUCUACUUCUACACCACACCCAUGAGUUUUCUAGACUGAAAAUUUCUUUGUUCCAAAUAUUAAGUAAACCUCCAGGCUCCAGCAUUGCCUAUAGCUUCUUUGAAAACAAAUUAAACCAAUCUUUCCUGCACAUAGUUUCAGUUUCAAUCACAUACAAAGUCAAUCUCAAAUUUCUCAUAGCUGCAGCUUUCUUACUCCUCCCCCCAUUCCUUUAAUAUUAAAAAGUAAGAGUUUGUUGGUAAAAGAUAAUUUAUAAUAUCAAAAACUCAGUCAAUUUGUUCCUUUUUUAUUUUUCGUGGCAUGUGUUUUUCUUCUUCUUAUUUGGUUAUAUAAUAUAUGCAUGAGAUAAAAUCCAGCCAUAUGCUAUGCUUGUGAAGUCAUAUUUCAUAUAAAAAUAACAACAUGCAAUACAAAGGAAGAUGAUAUUUUAUUAAGGGCACUUGGAUUGACCCUUGGCGUUAAGCAUAUCUCUGUAGCAUGGGCACUCUGAUUUGUUCCCGUAGGUUCCAGAAGGAACGCAUUUGCACUUGUUGCAGCACAUACCGCAAUACCUGAAGCAACGCUUAUAAAUUCCUGCUUUCGCGCACCUUGCGUUACACAUCGCGUCGCAAGAACCUGCGUCUAAUUCAAACAAACACCAAUCAUGUAUUCGACUAUAUAUAUAUAUAUGGAGGGGUUAUUUAAUUACUGAAAUAUAAGUCAACAAAUAAAACCAUCUUUUAGCAAUGUCACCGCCCGACCCGAAUCCGUGCGCGCUCGGGCUCGCCCCCAAUCUAUCACUAAAAUCUUUGUCUGAUAAUUUUUGGGCCGGACUUAGGAACCGGGAUGAGAUUCAAUGUCCCACAAUUUUGUGUGUGUCAACUUGUCUUAUUAUUAUUAUUAUUAUAUUUUUAUCAAAUAAAAUUUAUUAAUCAUGAAUCGUACUUAAUUUUUUUAUCUGAAUAAAUUAAAAAUUUCAAAAUUAAAGUAUAACCUAAUUUUGAAUUUAUCAACUUAUAUUAUCUAAUAAAAGUGAAACUAAAUGAUAAAAUAAUUAUACAUUUUAAAACUAAAUGAUAUAACAAUCACAACAUUAAAUUAAAAUAUAAUAUAAAAU